rnacentral:rRNA from 1 species
CCUACGGGAGGCAGCAGUGGGGAAUCUUGCGCAAUGGGGGCAACCCUGACGCAGCAACGCCGCGUGAGUGAUGAAGGCCUUCGGGUCGUAAAGCUCUGUCAGAUGGGAAGAAGGUUCCGUUUCUGAAUAAGAAACGGAAUUGACGGUACCGUCGAAGGAAGCACCGGCUAACUCCGUGCCAGCAGCCGCGGUAAUACGGAGGGUGCAAGCGUUGUUCGGAUUUAUUGGGCGUAAAGAGCGUGUAGGCGGCCGGAAAAGUCAGAGGUAAAAUCCCUGGGCUUAACCAAGAAAGGGAAUUUGAAACUGUCGGGCUUGGGUACGGGAGGGGGAAGGGAAAUUCCCGGUGUAGGGGUAAAAUUCGUAGAUAUCGGGAGGAACACCGGGGGCGAGGGCGGCUCCCGGGACCGAUACUGA